rnacentral:rRNA from 1 species
GGACUACACGGGUAUCUAAUCCUGUUUGCUCCCCUAGCUUUCGCGCCUCAGCGUCUGGUUUGGCACAGAAAACCGUCUUCACCACCGGUGUUCUUCCACAUAUCUACGCAUUUCACCGCUACACGUGGAAUUCCGUUUUCCCUUACCAUCCUCUAGCCUGAAAGUUUCAAAUGCAGCUCCGGGGUUGAGCCCCGGAAUUUCACAUCUGACUUUUCUGGCCGCCUACGCGCCCUUUACGCCCAGUAAUUCCGAUCAAUGCUUGCACCCUCCGUAUUACCGCGGCUGCUGGCAC